UUUUUUGUUUUGUGAGAUUUAUUGUGGGACUUAUUCUCAUUAUAAUAAAGUAUUAUAUUUGUGGUUUUUAAUAUUGAAAGUGACAUUGAGGUUGUUUAGUAAGGUACUUUGUCACCCUAUAUUUUAUUGUCAUAAGUUUUGUAAUUUGUAACCAUCAACUAUAAGUAGGUGUUUGUUGCUUUGAUUUACUUUUGAUUUUUACUUAUGUGUUGUUGGAAAUAAGGAUUUAGUAUAGAUAUUUGGAUUUUUUUUUGUAUCUUCUUCUAGUUAUAGGUAUUAUUUUUAAAGAUAUUUUAUUGUUGUAUUACUUAUAUUCUUGUUUAAAAAUACAUCAAAUACCUAACUGAGGAAGGUAAGUAAAAAUACAAGAUUAAUUCUACUAAGUCUAAUAGAACCUUAAAUAGACUUCAAGUAAUUCCUAAUAAACCCAAUUAAACUUUAACCUAUCAAAAUAACUAUAAAAGAAGUAAAAAAUAUAAAGAAACAUAAAGAAGUCAUGAUUUAAUCUCAAAAAAAAAUAACAAGAAAUCUUUAAAACAUACAAAAAUAACCUUAAAAAAAUAAUAAUUCUAAAAAAAUAUUGAGAAAAGAAAAUUUAAAGAAAUAGCAAAAAAUCCUUUUAAAAUACUGAAAGUAGAAAUUUUAAUGAAAUCUUAAUUGAAUUUCAAUCAAAUCUUAGAUCAAAUCUAAAUUAAAAUCCUAAUUGAAUCUUAACCAAAUUUUAGGUCAAACCUUAAUGAAAUCCUAAUAAAAUCUUAAAUCUUAGAUAAAUCCUAUAUCAAAUCCUAAGUCCUAAUUAAAUUAUAGACAAUUCCUAAAUCAAAUCCUAUAUCAAAUCCUAAGUCCUAAUUAAAUUAUAGACAAAUUCUAAAUCAAAUCCUAAUCAAACUCUAGAUCUUAAACAAAUUCUUUAUAAAUCCUAAAGCAGAAUGGAACUUCAAUAACUAAUAAUCAAAUCAUUGAUAUCAAAUCAAAAUUUAUAUUUUUUUUAAUAUCCUAAUUAAAAAUAAGCACAAAUAAGAUGAAAUCGAUCUCACUUAUCAAUUGAGAGAAAUGCAAGAUAAUCCAAUUAGGUAUUAGGUUGCCUCUUACUCCAACCUAAAUAUUGAACUUCCAAUGGUAAUAUCUCCUUCUUAUACUUUUGAACUACUCUCAAAUUUCAUCCAAAUGUUGGAAAUUGAAACUAAUAUUUAUAUAAAAAAAAUUCACUUCAAUCCAAUUGACAGAUUAUUAAAGAUCUCAGAAACACUCAUUGUCCCUCAAAUUUCAAUUUUUGAGACCUCAAUCUAUAAAACCCUCAUAUACUUCAAUCUAACUAUUUAAUUAAUUUCAAAAUUUGAAUACACAUUUACAACUAGUAUAUCAAUACAUUGGCCAAAUUUCACUUAUAUAUACUCCACAAAAUUCAAGAAACCUUCAAAUUUGUAAAUAUAUUUUUAUUUCUGAAAUCCUAAUCCCUCUAAGAAUAUCACUAACUUUGAAAAUCCCUCAAAAUCUCAAUAUUGAUCCAAAUGAUAUAAAACCAAUGCUUACAAAUUUUUCUUUAAGUUCGUUCUUAAAUUCCGCUCUCUAAUCUCCAAAAAUUUCUUAGAGUUGCUGUAUGGAUGUGGCUUUGUGCCUCAAGGUCUGAUUUCAAUCUUAGUUAAUAACUGGUGUUCUCUAAGUAUCAAUUUUUGAUAAUUUGAGGUAAGUUUUUCUUUAACCUAUUUCUAAUUCUUUCUUGAUUAUAUCUAAUUCAAUUUCUUAUCUCAUUUACUUUAAUUUGGUUUACUUAUGUAUCUACAAAGUAAAUAGAAGUUCCUUCUACAAAAGGUAGAAUUGAAACUAAAUCUUUUAUUACCUUUCUAUUAUUCAUUCUUAUUUUUCUACUACAUCUCUCUAUUAGACUCUUCUAUAAUAACAUUCAUAUUUUUUACUAUAUAAUUGUGUUACUACACAAUACUAUAGUUAUCUCAUUUUAUAUUUCUACUAAUUUGUAUUAAUAAGCACACUAUAAGGAUGAGGUCGAGUUGAUGGCCGAGAAGAUCCUUUUAUUUAUGGAUUUAUUAGACUUGUAAUGAUUCUAAGGUGAUUAUCAAUGAAUUAUAAAGCUUAGUAUUUUUGUAGAUGUAGAUUAUUUUUUUAGCCUUUAAAUAGUUAUAAGUACCCAAAUAGUCCAUUUUAUGGUACAUACUAAGAAUUGAUAUUAUUGAUCUCCUUCACCAGAUUACUUGGAUAGUGACCAUAGCAAGAAUUUCGGACUAUGGAUCGAUACUAAUAAAGCUUUUUAGUCUAUUUCAGUAUUAGAUACCACUUAGAGGCUUUGGAUCUUGAGAGUAGGCACAUUUUACAAGAUAGAAGGUGAUCCUUGCAACAUGGUGAAGGAUAGAUUUUCAAGAAGAAUUAAAGGCAUUUCUUUAUGAGAUUGAAGACUUAGGUUUCAAACAUGAAUAAAAGAAAAGCAUCAAAGAUCUCCUACUUUCAAUAAGUGACAUGCCUUUGAGCUCUUACCACAAUACUUAGAAUACAAGGCAUUCUAAAUCUUUGGAAAAUGAAGUAAUGAACAUUUACUUGAGUUGCAUAAAGAAGAGCAUUAUUGAAAGGCAUAUUGUUGUGUUGUAAUAUGAUUAUAUGGUGAAAAUAUAAUCAAAAAUAAAAUUUUAAUUAAUAUCUAUUCAGCUUGGUAUAAUAAUAAUUUAAGAUAUUUAAACAUAGCUUUUAUAAAAGCCUCUUAGUUUAUUUUUUUGUCUUAAGAGCUAGUAGAUUAAAGAUUGUUAAGUAAUUUUACCUUAUAGGCUAUAGAAAUUCUUUUACUUCCUUAUAAAGGCCAUAAAUUAGUAAAAAUAAAAUAAAAGAAGUAAAUAAUUAAUAUGGUUGAUACUAGGAUUAAGUUGAAGGUAGGAUCAAGCUAAAAAAUUCUUAGAAUAUAUUGAAUUGUUAUCCAAGGAUCAAUCAUUUAUAGGAUAGGAUCGAAAUUGAACCUCCAACCACUAAAAUACUUGCCUAGGACAAAAUAUAGGUAUAUUUGGAGAUCAACUACUAGGAUUAAAGAACUAAAUUUAAGCUUUUUUUAAAAAUUAUUAAGCUUAUUUUUAUGGAAUUUAAGAUGACUUUGUAAUUAUUAUUCAAAGUUAGGAUUUGUGUUGGUGACUUUGAAUUUAUGUAAUACAAUUAGAGUUAAUACACUUAGCUUAUUCAUACAAUAAGUGUCACAUUUAUAGUUCAAAAUUUGAUAGUACUUAAUUAAUUAGAUUUAAUAAGUAUAUGUAAAAUUUUAUAUUUAUUUAAUAGUAUAAUUGAGAGAUAUUUGAUUUUUGAUAUAAGAAGGUAUUGAAAGUUGGCAAUUUAGAGUUGGAUAGGAUUUCUAUAGUAUCCACAAAUUUACUAGUUGAAAUAAGGUGAAUUUUGGCAUAAUAUUAAAAGACUUAAAGAUCAAGCUACAUACCAAUUUUGAAUUGAAAUUAAUAACUAGAGAAGGAAAAAUUACUACUAGAACAUUUGUAAGAAUUUUAAAGUUGGAGGCUGAGUAACACCAGUGUAGUUUUUUGGACGAUUUUUCAUAAUUUGUAAGUUGGAUUGGAUUGAUUUUUUUUAGGCAUGUAGAAUACUUAUAAAAGAAAAUUUAUUUGUAAAAUUUUGCAUCAAGUGGAUAAUUAGAUUAAGAGUUACAACUUAUUGAAGGUCACUAAUUAGGAUUAGGGAUUAUAAAGAAAAAUCAAAAUUACAUAAUUAUGAAAGUAAUAAGGUAAUUGGAGUUUUCAUAUGAUUGAGAUUACUAAAAAUAGUACUUUUGAAUACUUUAUAUUGAUUUUAAGUACUAUUACAUUGAAAUUCAAAUUGCAUACUUUUUAUGUGGACAAAACCUAUUAGGACUUCUUGGAUACUUGUAAAACACUUAACCUUUCACAACCACAUGCUUGAUGUAUUUUCAAACAAGAUAAUGUGUAAUAUGACAAUGCUAUCAUAUUGUAACAUGUUAAUAUGGUGAAAUUAUAAUCAAAAAUAAAUUUCUAAUUAAUAUCUAAUCAUUUUGAAUUAAUAAUAAUUUAAGAUAUUUAAAUAUGAUUUUUAUAAAAGCAUCUUAGUUUAUUUUAUUAUCUUAAUAGCUAGUAGAUUAAAGAUUGGUUAAUAAUUUUACCUAUUAGAUUUUAAAAAUUCUUGUAUUAUCUUAAAAAAGCCCUAUUUGAUAAAAUCAAGUCAAAAGAGGUAAAAAAUUAGCAUGGUUGAUAUUAGGAUUAAGUUGAAGGUAGGAUUGGACUAAAAAAUUCCUAAGAUAGGUUAGAUUGAUAUCCAAGGAUCGAUCAUUUGAGGGACAGGGUCAAAAUCAAACCUCUAGCCAUUAAAAUAAUUACCUAGGAAAAAAUAAGAGAGCAUUUGAAGAUCAAAAAUUGGAAUUUGUGAUGAAGAUUUAAGCUUAUUCCAAGGAUGUAAAGCUUGUUUUUUUAAGAUUUGGAAUGACUUUGCAAUUAUUGUUCAAAGUUAAGGUUUAUAUUGAUGACUUAUGAUUUAAGCAAUAUAAUUAGAACUAGCACUCUCAACUAGUUCAAGCAAUUGGUAUCACAUCUAUAGUUCAAAAUUUGAUAAUAUUUAGUUGAUUGGAUGUGCUAAGUGUGUGUAAAUUUUUUUAUUAAUUUAAUAGUCAAAUUAAGAGAUAUCUAGAUUGUAGUACAAGAGGAUAUUUAAAGUUGACAGUUUGAAGUUGAGUAGGAUUUCUAUGACAUCUAAAGAUCUACUAAUUUGAUCAAGGUGAAAUUUGGCAUGGUUAUGGAAGACUUCAAGAUCAAGUUAUAUACCAAUUUUGAAUUGAAGUUAACGGUAUUAUAAUGUAAUAUGACUAUAUGGUAAAAAUAUAAUCAAAAAUGAAUUUCUAAUUAAUAUCUAAUUAUUUUGGUUCAAUAAUAAUUCAAGAUAUUAAAACAUGGCUUUUAUAAAAAUUUCUUAGUUUAUUUUCUUGCCUUAAUAGUUAGUAGGUUAAAGAUUGGUUAGUAAUUUUACCUUCUAGGCUAUAGAGACUCCUUUACUAAUUUAGAUAGACCAUAAAUUAAUAAAAUCAACUCAAAAGACGUAAAUAAUUAGCAUGGUUGAUACUAUGAUUAAGUUGAUAAUAGGAUUGGGAUAAAAACCUCUAGGAUAGGUUAUAUUAAUAUCUAGGGAUCAAUCAUUUGUAAGAUAGGGUCAAAAUCAGACCUCUAGCCACUAAAACUACGACCUAGGGCAAAAUAAGGAGGCAUUUAAAGAUUGGUGAUUAGAAUUGGAGAAUUAGCUUGGAGCUUGUUCUAAAGACUUAAGGCUUGUUUUUGUAGGAUUUAGUUUGACUUUGAAAUUAUUAUUCAAAGUUAGGGUUUGUAUUGACAACUUAAAAUUCAUAUAAUAUAAUUAAGGCUAUCAUUCUUGGCUAGUUUGUAAAAUUGGUGUUACAUCUAUAGUUCAAAAUUUGAAAAUAUUUGAUUAAUUACGUGUGCAAAGUAUAUGUGAAAAUUUGUGAUUAUCUAAUAGUGCAGUGUUGUGAUGUAAUAUGACUAUAUAGUGAAAUUAUAAUUAAAAUUUAAUUUUUAAUUAAUAUCUAAUUAUCUUGAUUUAAUCAUAAUUCAAGGUAUCUAAACAUGGCUUUUGUAAAAGCCUCUUAGUGUGGUUUUUGAGUUGUUUUCUCAUGAUUUGUAAGUUGGAUUGAGGUGAAUUCUUUAAAGCAUAUAGAAGACUUACAAUGGCAUUUGUAUGCAAAAUUUUGCUUCAAGUGGACAGUUAGAUUAGUAGCUACAACUUACUAAAGCUUACUAAUUAGGAUUAAGGUUUACAAAGAAAAUUUAAAAUUAUCUAAUCAUAAAAGUAAUAAAGUAAUUGGAAUUAUAUAUGAUUGAAAUUACUAAAAAAAGUAUUUUUGAGUAUUUUGUAUUAGAUUUAAGCACUUUUGAAUUAAAAUUCAAAUUAUAUUUUUCUUAUUAGGGUAAAAUAUAUUAAGAUUCUUGGAUACUUGUAAAACACAAUCCCACCUUCCAUAGUCAGAUGCUUGGUGCAUUUCCAAAUAAGAUGAUAUGUAAUAAAACAUGAAUGUUGGAGAAGGAAAAAUUGCUACUAGAACAUUUACAUCAACUUUCAAGUUGAUAGCCAAGUGACAUUACUAGGAUUUUUGGGCUUUUCUUUUACAAUCUAUAGGUUGGAUUGGGCUGAAUUUUUUUAAGCAUGUAAAAGAUUUAUAAUGGCAUUUGUGGGUAAAAUUUUAGAUCGAGUAGAUUAUCAAAUUUGAAGUUAUAGCUUGCAAAAAUACACUAAUUAGGAUUAGGACUUGUAAAGAAAAAUUAAAAAUACCUAAUUAUAAAAUUAAUAAGGUAAUUGGAGUUUAUAUAUGAUUAAGGUUCAUAAGAUGAGUAUUUUUGAGCACUUUAUAUUGACUUUAAGUACUUUUGAAUUAAAAUUCGAAUUGCAUUCUUUUUAUAUGGAUAAAACCUAUUAGAAUUUUCUUGAAUAUUUGUAAAUCACAACUUCACCUUCCACAGCCAAGUGCCUAAUGCAUUUCUAUACAAGACAUGUAUUAUGAUAUAAGUUGUCAACUCAACAUGAAAGUUUGGAGUGGAAGGUGUUGGAUUGUAUUUGUGGUUAUUUGAAAUUUGUAGUAUAAGAAGGCAAAAAAAUUAAAUUUUAAAUUUUUGAUGGAGCUUUGGAUGGAGCUUCAAGUAGAUCUUUAAGUGGAGCUUCAAGUAGAUCUUUAAGUGGAGCUUCAAGUAGGUUUUCUACUAGUGGAUAAGGUAUGUACUUUGAUCCGAAUACUACAAAUAUGUUUCAAGUAUUUACAUUAUUUAUGCAAUAGCAACAUGGCAAUGAUCACAAAGACGUAUUAGCAACCAAAGCAAUGCAAGAAGUAAUUAACAAAAUUGAUUAAUUGGAUAGAAGAAAUAUUUCAAAGUAUUUGAAAUUUUAUAUACAAAAAUGAAGUUGAAUCAAGUUUUUUAAAAAAAGAUGAUUCAGCUAUAAAACUUGCUAUAAUAUUAGAGAUAAGAAAAUAUAUUAAAUCAAUUAUAGAGAAUUUUGGAAAUUUAUAGGAGACAUUUUUAUAUGCAUUAAAGGACAAAUAUGUUUUAGAAGAAAUUGAUUAGGUUACUAAGAAAUUAUUUUAAAAAUGGAUUGAGCUGUCUAACAAGAAUUUUCAAGCUUCAAAAUUUUUGAAGGAAUUUGGAAGAUAAUAUUUUUGAUUAUCAAAGAUGAUAAAAUUAACUAUAGAAUCAAACAAGGAUGAAUUUUUUUUUUUCAACCAACUAAUAAAAAAUUACAAGAAAAGUUGAAAAUUCUUCUUGAAGAUAAAAAAGAAGAUGAUUGAUUGACAACAAAAUAGAAAGAAAUUGAAGAUUUUGUGGAAUUACUUGCAAAGAGAGAAAAGAGAAAGAAUAGGAUUGAAAUUCAAGGAAUUGGACAAGUACCUAAAAUUCAAGUACCUACUUCACAAUCAACAGUACCUAUUAUCCAAACUCCAAGGACUACAUCAAAGAAAGAAGAUAUGGGAUUUGAAGAGAUUAUACAUGGAAUGCAAGAUCUUCAAAUCAAACUUAUAGGACUUGAGAAGAAGACUUCUACAAUAAGUUCAAAGGUUGUUUCUAAGCAAGGAUAUAUACAAAGAUGUAUUUGGUGUGAUGAUGAUUUUCAUUCUGAAAAAGAUUAUAGUGAAUUCAAUGAAAUAUUGUAAUGAGAUAUUAUUUUUUAAAAAGAUGGAAAUGUGGGGUUUAAGGAUAUUGAUAAUCUUUUUUAAAUCAACUUUGAUAAAAAAAAUAUGAAAGUAUUGAUUGAGGAUUAUUUAGUUAUGUAUGAAAUUAUAGUAAUGAAUGCUACAAGUUAUGGUACUAGGAUGGAUGAUGAUGACAAACAAGAAUUUUUUAAAAAUAUUGUACCAAGUAGAUUUUGGUCUUCUAUUAUUUCUAUAAUGUAAAAAAAGAAGAUGCCACAGAAAGCAUUGUUAAGAACUACUAUUACAAUUAGUGGAGCUACAAGUUGAGAGGAUCUUAAAGAAACUUUGUCAGUGCAUGCUUAUAUUUUUAAAAACCAACAUAAAGCUUUAAUAGAAAAAAAAGAAGACGCAAGAAUCUUAGGACACAAGAAAAAGAAGUACUUCCAAGAGACAAACUUGAAGAGAAAAGGCUUGUGAGAUGGCUUUACAAGAAUUAUUGAUGGAAGAUGCUUUGAUAAUAUUGAAGGAAAAAUCAAAAGAUAUAAAAAAUAAAGAUAAAUUAUCAACAUAUAAAUUACUCUCUGAUAUUGAAAAAAUAACAAAUUUAAAGAAAGUACUUGAGGAAUGUGUGCUCAAUACGAAGGUUGAGUUCACAUUGAAGGAGAUUUUGAGAAUUUCUAAAAAAAAAAAAUCUAUAAUAUCAUUAUUAUUUCUAUAUGUAUACGUUUGGUUUUUUCAAGUAAAGAUAUAUCUUAUUUUUUGACAAAGUCUUUGUUUAUAAAACAGAUUGAGGCUCUUGAAUCUAAUAAGGCUAAGACUUUGUAAUUUUUUGGUCCUAAAUAAACUUCUAUUGUAAAAUAAGAUAAAGAAUUUGAAGAAAGAAUAAAACUUUUAGUUGAAAUUAUACAAGAUUCAAGUUGUACAAUCUCUAUUGUAGUUGAAAAAACUCACCUUAUGAUACAUUGUCCUCUUUGGCAACCAAGCUCUUUAUUUUGUGAUUGCAUUACUUCCUUGGAUAAUAUUGAGUAGUAUGCUUGGAUUCUCAACAAUACAUGCAUAGAUUUUUUUAGCAAUGGCAUAUCUUUUUAUGCUUAAUAAGAGGUUUAAAAUGUACUAUGUCAAUUUGUAUAGGAUGUGGCUUGGAUAAGCUUCUAAAAACUUAAAAAAUAUUGCUAUGACUUGACUUGUACUUCUUUCAACCAAAUCUUUAUUCUUGGCAUCUUUUAAAGAAUUGAUUAUUAUAUAUAAUGGCUUGAGCAAUAAUUUAUUUUAAUGAAUCUAUUCUCAAUAUUAUCAACAAUAAAUCUUUAGCAUUAUCUUUUAAUCCAUGUUGAAACUAAUUGAUAAGGACUUUUCUAUUCCAAUAUAUAUCACAAGUAAGAUUUUAUAAUUCAAUAGUACAUAUAAGAGCUGAGCAUAAUCUUUGCCAAAGAAAUAUGAGCUUAAUCCUUCUUAUCCUUUUGUGAUUACUUUUUCCAAAUAGAGCCAUAAAUACUUUUAAGAAUGAAUUCAAAUCAUAGAAAAGUUGUGAAUCUUUUUUCAUCAAAGAGGCAAACUAAAAGAGAACACUUUUAGAUAGAAAUGUGCCUAUAAAACCAACUUGAAUAAAUCCAUUGGAGUAUUGGAAAAUUUUCAAUUUUAUAUAGAGCUUAAUUUAUUGCAAAAAUCUUUGAAAUUUUGAUCUUGUACCAUUAAACUUCUGAAGCAUACUAAUCCUUGCAUUUCUUGUACUUGUAAAAGCAAAACUUUCUGAAUUUGGUUGUAAUGCUGAUCUACUUGCUUCUUUCAAUUGUACAACUUCUUGGUAUAGAAUUGGAUUUCUUCUAUAUGUGUAAAAAUAGAUCUUUUAAAGUUAAUAUUAGUGAUGUAUAAAACUUUUAUCUUAAGAGUGUUGACAAGCUUUUAAAGAUAUUGAAUAGUUGCAUAUCUAUGCUUACUUCUACUAAAAAUAGCAUCCAUGAUUUUUUCUUCUAUAGAUAAUUCAAACCAAUUGAAAAAUUAAAAUAGAUGAGCAUAAUCCAUACUUUCUAAUAUCAAAUGAAAAUUUUGACAAAGAGAGGUGAUUUUCUUUUUUUCUUUAAAAAAUCAAUAUUAGAAGAUUAAAUUAUUUGUUUAAAGAUGAAUAGUUUGCAACCUUCAAAAUAUAACAAUAGAAGUAGAAUAAUCCACUCACUUCUAAAACCAAACAAGAAUAAUAAUUUUAUAUUUUUAUUAAACUAUAAAGAACAUAAAUCUCUAAGAACUAAAUCAUCAAUACAUCCUUGUAUCACUCAAAAAGAUUAAAAAAUCAGUCAAAGAUAGUAUAAUAUUAAACUAGAAUGGCUAUUGUUAAAGAUAAAAAGAAUAUAAACUCUUGAAAUGAGACUAAAAAUAAGAAAUACAUUAACAAGAGUGAAAUAAGCUUUAUUCUUACUUCCAUAUAUACUAUUUAACUAAGAGCUAUGUAGUAGUAUUUUAUAAGUCCUUUAAUAUGUGUUAACUUUACAAGAUAUGUAUCUUAACUUAUAAGGCAAGUUUUUUAUAUAGGCGCCAUCUAAUUAGCUUGUUUCACAAGCUACCAACAAGUAUGACACUUGGUUAAUUUCUUGACUAAAUUUUUAAUCUAUCAAUUAGUUACAAAUAUAUAUAAAGUCAAAACCACAUCUAAGAAAUCUAAAUUAGAAUAAACCUCCAUUUGUUGGAAGUUUAUUCUAGUUCACAAUAAAUAAAUUGACUAUUUAAUUCUUAGAAAUUUUAUUUUUUAUUUAAAUCCUAAUCAAAUUACUCUUAACUUCCUUAAAUCACCUACAUUGUCAUAGUAUAUGUUGUUUUGUUUGGAAAUGCAUUUAGCACCUGACUAUAGAAGAUGAAGUUAUAUUUUAUAAGUAUCUAAGAAAUCCUAAUAGGUUUCAUCUAUAUAAAAAAAAAUUAAUUCGAAUUUAAAUUCAAAAUUUCUUAAAAUCAAUACAAAGUAUUCAAAAAUAUUCUUUUAGGUAACGUUAAUUAUACACAAACUCCAAUUGCCUUAUUGCUUUCAUAAUUACGUAAUUUUGAUUUUUAAUUGUAAGUCUUAAUCCUAGUCAAUGAGCUUUAGUAAGUUGUAAUUUCUAAUUUGACUAUCCACUUGGUACAAAAUUUUGCACAAAAAUACCAUUAUAAGACUUCUAUAUGCUUAAAAAAAUUUAGUCCAAUACAACUUACAAAUUGUGAAAAAACAUCCAAAAAACUACACUAAUGUUAUUUAGCUGCCAACUCAAAAGUUGAUACAAAUGUCCCAAUAGUAAUUGGAUUGGAGGUUAUUAUAUAUUAUCUUCUCCAAUUUAAUUGUUAUUGAGAAGAUCAAAAACUAUUCUUUGUAUAUACCUUUUAUUACUAUGCAAUUCCUUGUGUAUAUAAUAAUUAAGAAGAAUGGCUAAUUCUCAUGAGUCGAGUGCUAAUAAAAAUGUGAUCUUAAUAUUGAGGUUCUACUUGCUAAAUUAAUUGUAAAAAUUACCAAUUCAAGAGUAUUUUCUUGCUGAAUUUUUAAUUAUGCUUACAAACUACAACCUACAUAGAAGGAUACUACAAGUAGCUGAUUUUAAUUCUACUAAGGCAAUAAUUAUUUCUAGCACUAGAUCAACUUAGAUUUUGGAUUUAUCAUCAAAACAUCUCAACAUAAGACAAUGUGUAUUCCAUGAGCUAGUUGAUAAUUUCUACCUAUGGCAAUACUUGUUAAAAAAAUGUAUGGCCUCUCAAUUUGUUGAAGUUAUAUUGGUACCAUAUCUUAUUAUAUUGAUAGUACUGUCAACAAGCAAAUAGAAGAAUGACAAGCAUAAAGUGCUCUCAAGCACUUAUUGACUUAUCCUUGUAGCUCCACACUCCAAGUCUAAGACACAAUCUUAAUGUUGUCAUGAUGUAAUAUAGCUGAUAUGUGAAAAAGUGAAAAAAAUAUUAUAUUUUAGAAGAUCUUAUUUCAAAAUAUUGUAGCAAACUAUCUUAGAAAUAUAGAUAAUAGUCAAAAUAUAAUAAAUUAAAAGUAAAAAUGUUAUUUUUUUUAUAAAAUAGACUUUUACUUAUUUUGUAGAGCCAUAAAUAAAAAAAAAAUAUAGAUUAAAAAAAUAAAGAAUAUAAGCAUAUGUAAGAAGGAAUUAAGAAUUUAUUUUAGUAAAAAUUAUCUUAAGAAAAUAAAAAUUGAUACUCAAAAAGUAUUAGUUGUCAAUUUGGAUUGAAAUCAAACCUUGAAGAAUAAAACCACAUACCUAUAAUGAUACCAAGAUUUGUUUUACAAAUCAAAGAGUAGUAUUUCUAAGAGCACUUUAUAUGGUUUUUUGAAGCAUUGAUUUCAAGUAAUUUGAGUUUGUAAUGUAUUUGCAAGAGCUUUGCAAAGUCAAGAAUAUUUUAGGUGACUUUGGAUUUUAUAAAAUAAAAUAUAAUCUACAAUUUGAGCAAUUUCAUGAUUUUUAUAGUAGAUCUAUAAUUAAAAUUUUGUGGAAUUGUGAAUAUAGUUGUGCCAAAUGUAUGUUGUGAAUUUGAGAUUUAAUUGGAUGGUUGGAUUAGAGAUUAUUGAAAUUCAAAGGUGGAUUAAGAUCUCAAAAAUUGGAUUUUUAGAUCUUAUAAGGUUAUUUAAAAUAUGCAACAAUUUCCUAAUUGAAUUAAGGUGAUAUUUAUUAUUGUUAAUAUUUGAUUUGACUUCCAAUACGUUUGUAAAAUUUGAGAGUAAUUUAAUGGUUCAAUAAAGAAUUAUUAUUAUUAAAAAAAUCAACAUUAAGAUCAAAGAUGGAAGUCUACUAACACCCAAGUGGAUUUUGACGUUUUUCUCCCAUUUUGUAAGUUUGAUUUUUUUUUCAAAUUUAUUGUUCUUAUUGUAAAUUAAGAGAUUGAGAGGCGUGUUAAAUUUUAAAUAAGAUCAAUGGUUUAAUCAAUAGAUAUUGAGAUUUUAAAAUUUUCUUAGGAUUGAUUUGAAUUUGUUAGGUUUCUAUUAGGAUUGAUUUGAAUUGCUUAGGUUUUGAUUAGCAUUUAUUUUAAAGCUGAUUAAGAUUUGAUUUAGGAUUUGAUUAAAAAUUUAGGAUUUAAUUAGGAUUUAUUUAGGAUUUAGGAUGUAAUUAAGAUCGGAUUAAGAUUUAGAAUUUUUUUGAAAUUCUUAAGGAUUUUUUUAAGGUUCUUAUAGAUUUCUUUAGGAUUUUUUUAUUAUUUAUUUUUGAUUUCUUUAGAAGUUUUGUAGGAUUUCUUUAUAUUUCUUUUAUAAUUCCUUUGAAAAUUUAAUUGAGCAUGAUCAAUAUUUGAUUAUAUUUGUUAAUCUUUAAUUAUAUUUCUAUUAGAAUUGUUAAGACUUAUUGUUGUAAUUUUCUUUUACCUUCCACAGUCAUGUGCUCAAUGCAUUCUCAAGCAAGAUUUCACAUAAUACAACAAUGCUAUCAAUAUGACUUGAUCAAAAAAAUUACCAACUUACCUUUGAACUCAAGCCGCAUCAAACUAUAAUCUUAAGAAAUAUAAUUUAUUAAGUCAUAGAAGAAUGUCAGGCCUAAUUUGACCAUCAAAUAUCCACACAAGAAAUCAUCUACCAACUAAUUGCAUCUGCUUGAUGUCAAUGCAUUAUUCACUCAAAGAAAAGGAAGAACAAGAAUUUUUAUGAUUUUAGUAAUAAAUAAUAUCAUUCAAAUCAACAAUAACAAUACUAAUCUAUUACAUCAUUGUCAUAUGGCGUGAUUUGCUAUCUGAGAAUACACUGGGUAUCUAGUUGUAGAGAGUGUAGCUUAAACCUUUAUAUGAAUCUUAUCUUAGCUUCCAAAACUCCUUUAUUUUGCAUAAAACUCAAAAUAUAAUAAAAUCCCUUCAAAACAUAUUUUUUCUGUGAAGGAUUUUCUCUUCCCGAACUUUAGAAAUUCAUAACUCUUGAUCUAGCCGUUUAGUUUGUUACAAAUUUAUAGGAUAGGUAGAAUUCACCCUUAAUUUUUACCUAAAAAAAAUCAACCGCAAAUUCACUUCCGAUCUUUUGACAUCUAAGAAAUCCUAGAAAACACUCUAAACCCUAAUUUACAAGUAUCCGAGCACUAUUUUCUUAAUAUCUCAAGAACCCAAUACUCAAAUAUCAUAAAACUAAUUUAUAAAAUUUACUUACAUGAAAUUACAUAUUUCCUGAAAUUUUGAGCCAAAACCUUAUCAAAUUGCUCAAGAUAUAGCUCAAGAGACAACCACUAGUAAAUCGGGUCACUUACUACCCUUAGAUUGCAUGCGCUGACUUCAAAAUCUAAUAACUCCUUCAGUUCAACUUAGAAUCCACUAAGCAGUAUGUAAAAAGUGUAGCCGCAAAAGUGCUCUCUCUAGUCACAAUUGCCGAUCCUCAAUUUCUAUCCGUACGCGUGCGUUAUGCCAAAAAAAGUGACAGUAGCUCCCAAAUCAACACCUUAACUUUGAGUGCUUGUAUCUCCUUCAUAUAAAUUCCAAACCAUACAAAACUUGCACCAAAACCAUAGCCAAAAAUUUAAACUUGCUGCAUCUAGCCUUCAAAGCUCGAAUGGCUCCAAAAACUAAUCCUAAUCUAUAAUAUGGCCUCAGGCAGCCUCCUCAAAGCCCAUUGGUCAUGAUUUUUGACCAAUAGGAAUGGAGAUUUUCAUCAUUCAUCUCCAUUCAUCUAUAUUGGUACCCUAAUUACUCCCUUUGCUACCAAAACCCUUCUUCAAUCCUUUUUCUUAUAAGAUUUUCAUAAUUUAUGCUCUAAAUAUCAAAUAAAAGAACCAAAAUAAGUUUUCAAAUGUCACCAAUGUCUAGCAAAGGUGACUCUAAAUAUUUAGAAGUUAUUAUCAACCAAAACCAAUCUUUAAAGUGACUAUCAAAAGGAAAUUAAAGUUAUACAAAUUCUAUAGUAAUCUUUUUAAACAACCUCUUCUUAAAGUAAUAAUCAAAUUAUAUUCUACAACCAACUAAAAUCUACUAACAUGACUCUCACCAUGUUACUUAAUGAAUUAUAUAUUAAGUACAUAAUUACAUUAUUUUUAUAUAGUAGCGGAACCACAACACGACACUGUGAUGACAACAAUUGUUAUAAAAGCAAUAGUAAAAAUAAAAUAAAAAAAUAAAAAAUAAAAAAAUGGUGCUAUCUAGAGUAUCAUACCAAAGCAAUAGGUCUACUAAUCAAACAAACUUAAUAAUCUGAACACUUGGUUAUAAAGCUAUAAUAAUGGCUUCUACCACUACCAUGCUUAAGAAAAAUCCAAAAUACGAUGUUGAAUGUAGAACUUGGAAUAUGAGGAAAAAACCAAGAAAAAUAAUUUAUACAUACACACACACAUAAACACACACACAUAAACACACACACACACACAUAUAUAUAUAUAUAUAUAUAUAUAUAUAUGACAAUUUUUAUAGAAUCAUUAGUAAUAAAACACAAAAUUAUUGCACCCCUUGCUUAAGAGAGACUUCACACCAGCUCACAACAUUGCCACAACAACAAGUUGAUAACAAAAAAACAUGAAUCAUUGCUUUAGAACAUUCUAAGAGCUCUACAACUUAAGAAAAGAAGCAAAUACUACAUAUAGUCAAUAAAAAUGUGAAAACAAUACACAACAAAUUUUCUUAAUGAAGGAACAUCCACGCUGAUAAAAAUAUUGAAGAAAACCAAAAACCAAAAGAAAGAAGAUGAAAAAUGAGGCCACAUUUUAAUGUGGAUAAUGCCUUGAUUCUAUUAGGCCAACUCUCUAAUAACUCCAAAACUCCAUCUGCACCUCUUCCAACAAAAAUUCUAAAUCAAAGUGAGUAUGAAGGAAAAGAAAACCAACCACCAUGAUAAAUCAUAUUAGCCGCCUUAAUCUUAACUGUGUUGCAGUCACCAAAACGAGCAAUUACUUAAAGAAAAAAUAAAAAGAAAAAAACAUGAGGUCCAACAACAACUUUGAUCUUUUUUCUGCAAUGCUGCAGCAAUACAUCCUUGAAAAACCAUAAGAAAAAAUAACAGAUCCACACACUUGGAGGUGCAUCUCUUACAAACACAAAAAAUGGAAAAAAAAAAAAAAAAAAAAAAAAAAAGGAUUAGAUUCAGAACAAUCCAGAAUCUUAUCGGCAAGGAAGCUGCUACCAUUCAAAAACAACCUUUUUUUUUCUUGAUCACCCUUCUAUUUUUAUUCUAUAUAUAUAUAUAUAUAUAUAUAUUCUUUUCUUUUCUUCUAUCUUGAUUUCUUUCUCUUUUCUUGUUUUUUUUUUUUUCUUUCUUCUCUAUUCUACUCUAUUUUUCUUUCUAUUCUUUUGGUUUUAUUUUUAUUUUUACUUUUAUUUUUUAAUUUUAUAUAUAUAUAUAUAUAUAUAUAUAUAUAUAUUAAGAACUAUUAAUAAUUUUUUUCUUUUAACUAUAAGACUAUUUUUAUUAGACCAUCAUCUAAUAUUAGAUACCAAAAACAUAUCUACCAUAAAAAUUUAUCUUAACAAAUUCUACCAAAGACUGCAUAUUGGCUAUAAGUAAUUUGUUUUCUAUUUUUCCUAAAAAUUCUACUACUAACUUACUUAACCUGUGAUUUUAUGCACAACAAGUGCAUUUUUUAUACUAAAUAUCCAAGUAAGUCAAUUUAAUGUUUUAUAUAAAGCUUUUAGAAAGCUUCUCUAGAAGAUAUUAUAAAAUUAACCUACUUUUACUUACUUCUACUUAAUCAUACAAGUAAUCUUUGGAGUAAAUAUAUAAGUUCAUGACACAACAUUCUUUAGGACUUCUAUACAUAUCCAACUUGUAGAAUUUAUAUCUAACAUUUAAACUAAGUUUCUUAUAUGUAUGUUAUAUGGCCAAUGUUUUAGCCAAAUUUACAACCUAUCAAUCAUCUAUAAACAUAUAUAAAGACAAAUCUGCAAGAUAUUAUCAAAUUUAUUUAUUUUUGUUUAUUUCCGCAUAAUUCUUUUUAUUUAGGUAAUUAAUGGUGUUGAUGAUAUCAAUGACAAUAAAUAAUUUUUUUAUUUAUUAUAAAUUAAAGAUAAUAUUUUAAAAUAUUUUAUUUAUUCAAAAUUAUUAUUAUAUAUUAAAGCUUCUUUUUUAAAUUGAAAAAAUAAAUUUUUAAUAUUUUUUUAUAAAAUUUAAUUUUUUUGAUAGUUAAUUUAUAAUUUUAAUACUUUAUUGAUGUAUUAAAUCAAACGUCUGAAUUAUUAUUUAUUUAAUUUUUAUCUAUAUAUCUUUAUUAAUAAAAAAUAUUUUAAUUUUAUAUAUUUAUAUUCAUAUUUAUAAAAUAAUACUAGUAGUAUUUUUAUAUUAAUAAUAAAUCUAUACAUUAAAAUUUCUUUAUAAAACUUUGUAUAUAAUAAAAUUAAACUAAAAAUAUAUGUCAUGAAUAUACAUGUCAAAAGUAGUAAUUAUUGAGAUAAAAGGAAUUAGGUAGAAGUAUAAAAAAGUAUGUAAUUUGAUAGUAUCUCGUAGAUAAGCUUUUUAGAAACUUCAGACAUGAAUUUGAUUUUACAAAUCUUUAUAGGUAAUUGAUGAAUUGAAAAUUUGGCUAAUAAGUUUGCUACAUGUUGUACAUGUUGGCCACUUGUUUUAUAAGUUUGCCUUAUAUUGCACAUAUUGCCCACUUGUGGUACAAGUUGGCCAUGUGGCACACAUAUUGGAAACUUGCCUUGCAAAUUAGACACAUGUUUCAAAAAUUGGACAUGUGUCAAAUAUCUUAGAAUGUCACAUAGUUCUUAGUUAGAUGGUAUAUAUAGAAGCAAAGAUUAAGCCUUCUUUAGUCUUGUCAAUACAUUUUUUUGUCCUUAGUUUGUUUCAAAUACAAAUAAUAAUAUAAUAAGAUGUAUAAAGAUUUUUUUUGAAUUAAUAAAGCAAUACAAUACCAAUCAAAUUAAAAAUACAUUAAUAAGACAAACACAACUUAGAAUUCUAAAAAAUGAAAACUAAAGCUAUUUCAAAUUGUCUUUUAAAAAGUAGUUAGAAUUUGGAACUUGGCAAAUUAUUACAGAUUUUUAAAAUAUAUAUAUAUAUAUAUAUAAGUUAAUUUUUUACAUAUUAUGAAUUAAUUUAAUAGUACAAGAGAUUCUUUCAAAUUACAAGAAAUUCUUCUAAAUUUUUGUCACAAAAUGGCAAUAACACUCUUACAAAACAUGAAAAAUAUUGAAAAAAAAAUUGUUAAAAUUUUGUGGGAUAAUUACAAUCCACAACAUUAUGAUGUCAAAACUUGGUAUCAAUUUAAUAUGAACAAUCUUGACCCAAGUUGGAUGUAGCUUGUCUUUCUGUAGAAACCCUAUGACUUGGCAUCAUCUUGGAAUGAACAAUCUUGACCCAUGCUGGAUGUACCUCUUCCCCCUGUGGGAAUCCUAAUCCUAAAACCUGGCCUGCUGAUCUCGGUCACUUGCCCUGCUUGCGAGAUCCGGAGUUCGGCAGAACUUCUCUAGAAGGAAAACAAGUCAUCAAUCAGUUUUCGAAACGUAGUGCACUUGGUCGAUAACGCCGAAGGCGAUUUGGGAGGUGACCUAAACGACUAGAAGUACAAUCACUUUGUAGGAUUUGUUGAAGAGUCAUCCAGACUGCAAUUCGCAGAAACACUUUUCGCGUCCCUGGAGUUCGACUCUCAAAACCACACACAAGUGAAGCAUAUGCUGAUUCACAUCAAGGUAUUUGUGGAAAAAAAUAUCGCGCGCUUUCAAUAGAGCUCUAUCAUUGCAGUGUGUUGAAAAUAGAACUCGUCGUUGUUGGGGAUAAGUGUGCACAUGUAAAGUGAUACACUCCUGAAUUGGCUUCUGGUUUAGGAAUCAUUCAAUGAAAUUGCAGCGGGAGCGUCAUAUCCCGAUGUGCACAGAACAGGAAUAUUCCAAUCCUAUCUGGUGCUGUUAAGGCAAAUAGGUGUCGACAACUUGGCACAAAAAGCAGCUGAACUAUCACUAUACUAUCCGUUUUAUUGGCCAAAUGCAACAUGUGUCGGAUGGUGAAGAUAGAGUCUGCCUCGUCAGCCACCUCCUUUAUCGACUGCACAGAAUGUUCCUACAGACGUGGCAUGCAAGACAAGUGGGAAUGCAAAUGUCUACAAGUGGAUGCAUCUUUCCAGCGACCUCUUCCUCAUGGCAGGACCUAAGCAACUUUUUGUUAUUAUGUGAGAUAAAGUGAAGCUUCUCACAUUUAUAGUAUAUCGAUCAAUUCCACAAUUUUUAAAAUUCGUUAAUAGUUCAUAUCUUCAAAACUAAGAAGUUAUAAGGGUUAGUAAGAAGUUAAUGUAAUGAAUAUUCAGGUAGGUUGUAUUUAGCUCCAGCUUAUAACGUUCGUGCUGGGCAGGCUAGCUUGAUCAAUUCGAUUCAAUGUAAUGUGUCCUUCGUGCCUACCCCAAUUGUUUCAUCACCGUAAUUUCUAUCAACGCAGUAAUGGAGCCGCGCUACAAGCUGUGGACAGCUCGAGCAGAAUUGCAAAAUAAGGGCAGUUGCCGAAUAGUCUCAUCAAAAACAAACUGCUAAAUAUUCAACAAGUAGUAUUUUUGAGUACUUGGGAAUUCACAUGUGAGCUUCGUUUUCAGGUGCGACAGUAUGACAGUUCCUAGACAUCAAUACCCUGUAGAAAACUCGAACUAGCUGAGAAGUAGAUGCGAGAGAAGAAGAGCUUUUGAUUGAAUUCCGAAUUUCAUAAAAAUGCCAACAGUUAGGCACAAGCUUUACUACGCCUGCCAUGUACACAAGGAUGAACUGCAAUACACUCAGACCUCUUUUCAUAUGCACAAGGUCAGAGUUGUAUUAUUUGACAAUGCACAAGUCCUCCCUCUUCAACUCACAAGUGUCUACAUUUCACAUUGACACAUACCACAUUGUGCGGAUGAUCAUUGGGGAUUUUAAGACAAAGAUAUAUCAGAGGU
rnacentral:lncRNA from 1 species